rnacentral:rRNA from 1 species
GGACCCGCACAAGCGGUGGAGCAUGUUGCUUAAUUCGACGCAACGCGAAGAACCUUACCGGGGCUUGACGUGUACUGGAAGUGCUCAGAGAUGAGUUACGCUCUUCGGAGCUGGUACAUUAGGUGCUGCACGGCUGUCGUCAGCUCGUGCCGUGAGGUGUUGGGUUAAGUCCUCUAACGAGCGCAACCCCUUUCCACAGUUGCCAACAGGUAAAGCUGGGAACUCUGUGGACACUGCCGGUGACAAACCGGAGGAAGGUGGGGAUGACGUCAAGUCAUCGUGGCCCUUACGUCCCGGGCUGCAAACGUGCUACAAUGGCUGGUACAAAGGGAAGCGAGCCCGCGAGGUGGAGCAAAUCCCAAAAAACCGGCCUCAGUUCAGAUUGCAGUCUGCAACUCGACUGCAUGAAGUCGGAAUCGCUAGUAAUCGUGGAUCAGCAUGCCACGGUGAAUACGUUCCCGGGUCUU